AAUUGGUCGGGAGCUGAUACCGCUCUCCUGACGAGGCCAUGGUAGGCCGAAACCAAUU
rnacentral:hammerhead_ribozyme from 1 species